GAGAUAUUAGUAAAAUAAAUUACAUAACUUUGUCAAAGUUAAAUUAUAAGACCAAAACCUAUAUAUCUUA
rnacentral:tRNA from 1 species